CUGUUGUACUUGUUGAAACUGAAUGCAAGACACACUUGGAUAAUUAAAUACCAGAAGUGCUUAGCUGUGUUUUCAGCUCCUGUCAAACAAGGAAGAUGUAGCGUCGUGUACCAUUUCUGAAGCCUUAACUUCCCCUGCCGACUGAACAGCAGUAUAAAGUGUAUCUAGAGUAAACAAAGCAACAUGGUUAACACCAGGGCCAUGGCCAGAGAAGAACAGUCCUCUGCCCAUUGCCAGAAAUCUUGAGUCCCGGCCAUGCAUCUCCAGUCUUGGUGCGAUGUUUGGACACAAUGUCAGCAAGGUCCACGGGAAAGAUCCCUCCUCUCUCCUGUUUCUUCCCCAGGCAGCCCUCCCCUCCCUGUUGGACCUCUUCCCUAGGCCAAACCCUUUGCAUCCUCUCCUGCCCAUCCUUCCUUACCUUUUGCAAACAGUAGCUUUGUUUCCUUUUCUGUCUCUGCCCUGGGGAACAGGAGGAGCAUCACCACUUUGCAGUGGUGAGAAAAGGGCACCGCCCCCUCCUCCAGCAAGAUCAGAUACCUCAGUGAAGGGAAUAAAGACUUAUCCACAACAGGGCUAGGGAAAUCAGUGUGGCAGAAGACUAGAAAUAUGAAUACUGAGACAGUAAUCGUAAUCACUAACGAAGCAGCAGGUUCCUAGAAGAGGCAAUAAGGGGCAGAAGAACUUCGGAAAGGAGGCUUGACUAGUUUUACUAAAGAAAUCAGCAGACUAUGAAACACAGACAAUUGUGAUGAUGGACAGACCUCAUUGAGUAGGGAUAUAUUAUAUUAAAUAAAGUAUAAUAUCUACGCUGUUCUAAAA